rnacentral:rRNA from 1 species
UACGUAGGAGGCGAGCGUUGUCCGGAGUUACUGGGCGUAAAGAGCUCGUAGGCGGUCUGUUGCGUCGGCUGUGAAAACCCGGGGCUCAACCCCGGGCCUGCAGCCGAUACGGGCAGACUAGAGUUCGGCAGGGGAGACUGGAAUUCCUGGUGUAGCGGUGAAAUGCGCAGAUAUCAGGAGGAACACCGGUGGCGAAGGCGGGUCUCUGGGCCGAUACUGACGCUGAGGAGCGAAAGCGUGGGGAGCGAACAGG